GUGGGGGUGGGAGGGAGAAAAGGGGUUGAACGGUUUCCUUUUUAUCCCCCACCUUUAAUCGCCCACCUUCAGGAUCUCCUUGUUCUGCUAGCAUCAAAUAGGAUGCAGAUGGGCUGGUGGCUUCCUUGAGGGCAGCUGUGGGAGCCUGGCUCCUGGGGCAGGUGGCAGGACAGAAAAAAAAAAAUUGUAAAAGUAGGGAUGUGGCUCAGUUUGCAGAAUGCUUGCUUAGCAUACAGGGAGCCCUGGGUUCCAUCCCUAGCAGCACAUAAAACCAGGUGAACAUCUUAAUCACAGGUAAGAAGUAGAGGCAGGAGGAUCAAACAUUCAUGGACAUUCCUUGGCUACAUAGCAAAGUCAAGGCCAGCCUGGGCUACAAGAGACCCUGUCUCAGAAAAUAGAAAAAAAAAAAAAAUUCUUUGAUAACACGGCCAGCCACUGUCAAAGGAUUGUCAUAGAGCUGAGGAACCUGUGUGUUGCUUGGCAGGUAGCAGCUAAAAGGCAAUAACCUUGGUGGGGACAUGCCUGCGUGUCCUGAGGGCCCUGCCAAGUGCCAAAGACAGGCUGGGUUGUGGAUGAGAGAGGCUGCUUUCCUGUGUGUCCCCUUCCCACCCACCUACACAGCUUGGCUCUAAUUUCUGGUUAGAAUUCCUUUGUCAAAGAAACACAGGACUGUGUAAUUCUUAUUUGCUGCUGUGGUGAACUGGCCCUCCCUCACUGUAAGGAAAGUAAAAACUGAAGACUCCAAGAGCUGCCAUUAAACAGGGGUGGGGGGUAGGGGUUCUCUAGCUCAAAAUGGCUAAGAUUUGGAAAAGAAUGAUGUCCUAGAGUUAGUAGCUCGAGGGGGGAUUCGUGCUGUGUCCCCAUUGAUGUCUGAUAUUGCUGAAUUCCAGGGAACGGGGCUCCCUAUCUCUAUGAAUUUGAUGGUUUCUGGGGAGGUAAGGACAGCUCAGAAUGAAGGCUAGGUAUUGUCCUGGCUGUUCCCCAGUGGGUGUGGCUUACAGAGGGUGGAAGACUGGAGCUGGGUUUUACUUGAAGCACUAUUCUUGGGAGUUUGAAUAGCUCUGUAGAAGACCUGGCAGCAGGCUGGCCUCAUCAAAUAUGCUGGAAUCCCUACUUCUCACAACCUGGGGCCCUUUUGUGAGUCCCUCCCUGCUGAAGUAUUGCUUCUGUCUCUGUACAUUUGUGAGUUUCUAGACACACCUCCCAUACUUCUCUCCAUGCUAGUGAAUGAACUGACCCUUUUCUACCUCUUGCAUUGUCCACCCAGCCCAACUGGUAAAGUAGACUUCCUGGCCUGCUGGUGCUGCUGGAGGCUGGGGGGCAAUGGCAAGGGGAUCCUAUCCUAAGCACUGACAGGGGUCCUUCAAGGCCUGGCUGGAAUCAUCUCCACCCUGGUUGAGCCACCAGGCAGGUGAAAGUUAAGAGGCCUAGCUUAGAAGUGUGUUUAUAAAGUCUUACAAAGGUGGUUUCCUGCAGCAGGGUGGGAGAAAACUGGCAGACUUACUGUGAAAAUGGACUUUUCCCUGCACCCCAGAAUUGUGGGACUCUGCCAGUUUUCCAGACCUGAAAUUUCUAGGCAUGUCCACCAGGAGUCCAAGGAGCUAUGAGUGACAGUGCUGAUGUUCCACCAGCAGGGGGUGCCCAAAGCUGAAAUGAUCCCCACCUGCAGAAGCUGCCUGGCCCUGAGCUCAGUGUCUCUCCAUCUUCCGAUUACUCCUCUCCAGCUCAAGACCCGAGUCACACAACCCAAAAGAGUUCUUUCUCCCAUGUAAUAAAUUCCCCUCUGGUUUUAGACAGAAGCAAGCCUCACUUCCCCUGGUGGGCUCCUGCUCUUGAGGCUAACCAACUCCCCUCUAGUGGUUAAGGGCAUUAUGAACAGGUGGGUGGUCCCCAUAAUAUACAACAGCUCCCAGGCCUCCUCAGAGUUAGCAAGGUGUGGCCAAGUGACCCUCUGGGGAAACUGAUGGUGAGGGUGGGGGACAUUCUGCCUGUCAGGUGUGGAAAUCAGCAAGGAAGGAACCCACAGCCUUGGCUAGAAGCCCAUCCAUUGACGAUCUUGUAGAAACCUGGGCCUGUGUGUAAUUGAACUUUCCACUGGGAGAGAAACUGAAAUCAGGUCUUGUGUUUACCUGCACUGUAAUCAGAUCUCGGCUGGCCUUUGGAGUUAGUUUCCCCUUUAUGGUGUUAGGCUCUUAAAGCAGGGGGAGCCCUUUACAUAACCUAUUAAGAGAGAGAAUGCAUUUCUUCAGAAGGUGAAGGCCUUGUCAGAGCAAGAACUCCUGAGAGGGGCAGUGCCUCAUUGGAUCCCAGGCCACACUUUGUGCAUGUGGUCUGAUUUCGUGUACAAGUGGAAACGCUUUGACUGUAUCAGUUUUGUUUUGUCUCUGAGGUGGAUCGUUCGCUUUAGGUGUCUGGUGAGUGUUUGGAAAUAUUUGUCUAUUUCUUUGGUGGCACAUGUCUUCCUGACAUGUCUUUUCAUUCCUCUCUGGGGUUGGAUUUUGAAGGCUGGGUGCUGUUGAAGGCUGAUAGAAGAUUGCUCCAGCCUGGAACAACUAUGUGUGUCCCCAGUAUGUGUACCCGCACAUGGCUAUUUAUGUUCCCAGUGUAUGUGUGCCCCUAAGACUACAUUUAGUGUGUGUGCAUGUGUGUGUAUAUGUUCCUGGCGUGUGGCGUAUGUACAUGUACCCCCAGAAUAGGGCUGAAGGUGCCAAGAAUCCUUUAGCUGGCAUCCCUAGGACCAGACCCUAUCUCUUGACUCUUAUGAUGACCAACAUAGUGAAGGGCCUCAUUCCCCAGUUGCCCUGGCCCUGGCUGACAUGUUGCUAAGGCAGAAAACCAGCCUUGAGGCCAUCUGUGUAGAAGCAGUAGCCUCCAGACACUUCAGCUAGUUAGCAUGAUAGAGAAGAGCGAUGUCCACUUACUGCUUUCUCUUCCUUAGUGAAUGAAUGUGGUGUUGGCUGCAGUACUGCUCGCUGGUAAUAACCUAUCAGUGAGUUGGGUCACACUGAACCUAUGUGCUAUGUGCUGUUUAUAGAUGAAUGUGUGUGCUUUGACUCAGACCAGGGUGGUUCACCUAGAUUGUGUGUAAUUAGGCACCUCCAGCCUCUCCCCAACUUCUUGAUGGAAAAGGAAAAGCCAAGUGUUUUGUUAACGACAGGCUCUGCUGUGUGUGUUACUUGCUAUUCCAAGCCUGGACUGGUUUAUUUAUUUAAAACUAUUUUAAUUUCUCUAUUGGCUUUAUUCUUAUCCCAUCUGUCCCUGUGUCGCUGCAGAGUAUGUCUUUGUUAGAGUAGACGGAUGGCAGAAAUAGGUUUAUAGUCAUUCAGGAAGCUCGCAGCUUGGAGCCGAGGAGGAGCUCCUUUCAUUCUUGUUGCCUUCAACAGAAAGUGCAAAGUCAAGCUUUUUCAGUUUGGAUUUUGUUUUUGACAUUUAGCAAAAGACCAAAUUAGCUGUAUAGCCUUGGAAACAGAAAAUAAGAAUUGCUCUAGUUCUCUUAGCAUUUAGGGUUCUGUGGGGUCCCAUGUUUAGCACAGCGCCCGGCUCGUAGAAAGCCUGGCAUAUGUUCAAUAUUGAUAUUAGUAGUAAAUCAUGAACCUUGAGAAAUAAAGAGCUGCGCUCACCCCCAUCUGUUGAUUCAAACAUGAUGGUCACAUAGAAAAUCUUGUUGAGUAGAUCAGAUGGUAUAGGAAUUAAUUGUUCCAAAUGUGUAAGCUCUGUGCCUACCCUGCUCGCUGGAAUUCUAGUGUCUUCUUGAAUAUGCUGAUUGGAAAAUAUGCCAGUCUUCAGCACUCCGUGAAACAAAACUGAAAGAAUUUAAGUGAAGUUGAACCCACCAGUAUGUUCUGGAACAUUCCAGGGGUUUCUUUGGGGAACUUUUUGAGCUCAAAAUUAAAAGUUCUCUCACAAGUUGCACUCCUUGAAUUAGAGUUUAAUUUUUAUUCCUCUAUAAUUCAGUAAUAGAAUCUUCAAUUUGU
ensembl:lncRNA